rnacentral:rRNA from 1 species
UACGGGGGGGGCAAGCGUUGUUCGGAAUUACUGGGCGUAAAGGGCUCGUAGGUGGCCAACUUAAGUCAGACGUGAAAUCCCCAGGCUCAACUUGGGAAACUGCGUCUGAUACUGGAUGGCUUGAAUUCGGGAGAGGGAUGCAGAAUUCCAGGUGUAGCGGUGAAAUGCGUAGAUAUCUGGAGGAAUACCGGUGGCGAAGGCGGCAUCCUGGACCAUUACUGACGCUGAGGCGCGAAAGCUAAGGGGAGCAAACGGGG